rnacentral:rRNA from 1 species
GGGCCCGCACAAGCGGUGGAGCAUGUGGUUUAAUUCGAAGCAACGCGAAGAACCUUACCAGGUCUUGACAUACUCGUGCUAUUCCUAGAGAUAGGAAGUUCCUUCGGGACACGGGAUACAGGUGGUGCAUGGUUGUCGUCAGCUCGUGUCGUGAGAUGUUGGGUUAAGUCCCGCAACGAGCGCAACCCUUGUCUUGUGUUGCCAGCACGUUAUGGUGGGGACUCGCGAGAGACUGCCGGGGUUAACUCGGAGGAAGGUGGGG